AGCAUUAAAAAAGACCGGGUGACCGUGGUGCCUGCUAAGCCUCCCUGUGCUGCACCUAUUUGGUUGGUGGGAGAGGGGUACGAGAUCUUGGCCGAGGCGUCGAAGCAGCAGCGGGGCUUUGUGAAGGACAAGAUGGCGAUGGCGGGCCGGGACGGCGGCCGUCUCUAUGAUGAAGCCUUUUCACAGACCUGUACUGAGCUCCGUGAGGAUAAGAAACUCUGAGGAGACGGGCCGUGCACAGUCGAAGUCCGACGCAGUCGGAAAACGAGGCCUUGGCAAAGUAUCCAAUGCUGACCUAAUGUCCUCUUGUCUGCAGGGUGCAGGCGCCGGAUUUAACGCUGAAGCCUGGAAAAGAGGCCUCCUGUUAGAAUGUGGUUCGGCUCAAAAGACGUUACAGGUUGGAGGAUGGGACAAGACCUACUCCUGUGCGAUUCAAGCAUUACAGUGAUGCUCCAGCAUUUCGUCACCAGUCCUGAGGAAUUCAGCUGCUUCCCAGGGUGAAUACAGGUAAUUGUUCAAAUGGAUUGGGGUGUCAUCUCUCCCGUGUUCCCCACAACCGGGAGAGCAAAUGGUCAGUGGAGCAGUGUUGCCUUUUUGCUCCUUCCAGCUUGUUCUUGGAAUGGUUUUCCUGGGGAGAGAGCAACCCAGCAGCACAGUUGGUUCUUGUGAGGGUGUGCUCUUCCCUCAUCCACAUGUCACUGUCAGAUGAUUUGAAUUGAUAUGCUGAUCCUCCAUGAGGUACGACAGUUAAUAGCAUGUUAGAGUUCUGAUGGCAGUUUCUAUUAAUGAAGAAAUUUAUUCCAUACUAGUAUCUUUUAAUAACCAUUUGCUCCCCUUUUGCAGGUCAUCCAGAUGAUAAAUUCAUCUCACGAUGCCCAGUGAUCUGCCCCAGGUCGAACUCCUGGAAGGAGUUGAGAAUGGUGAGUACUUGUAACCUUGCUGGUAUUAGCUUGACCCAGAGUCUAGUGCCAGUGAGGAAAGCAAGCAUCCCGUCUUAACCCCUGUUCUAGCCCCAGAGCCAGUAAUGGUGAACCCACUGGGGCUAACUGGGAGAGAGGAUGAGAACCUGUUCCAUAAGGAACUGUCUGAGGUACAGCAAAUGCCUGUUGGUAGCAUUUGCUUAGCAUUUCUUGGCCUGUCCACUAACCAUAGCUAGAAUAGCUUUGGCUGUUUUAGAUAUUUUGCUAAUUACAUGAUUUUCUCAUUCAGGAGCAGCUUGUUAAUGUAUACUACUGAAAAGCCUCCAGAAUUAAAAGGUGCUGUUUCCAGUAGCCUGCUUAUUUGCUCAGAGGUCCAGCACCUUGUCUGAAGCCCAAGAAUGAUUUGAGGGUGAGCAUAAGCCAUAUUUCUGCUCAACUGCGGUCUGAAGUUAGAGGACUGAAGAAAGAUCAAAGCACAUAAAAUGGAAUCCAGCUCUUAGAAGACAUCAAAAAGGGCAUUUUCAAGUUAUUUCUUAUACAACCUAGCUGUUCAAAUUGGCAUACAGCCAUUUUAGCCUUUCUAAAUAAAAGGAAUUUUUUUUAACCUUCA